rnacentral:lncRNA from 1 species
CUUUCCUUCCUUCCCCUUCUUAAGUAGACUUACUCUCUACCAUUUCAAAAAUGAGGAGCUCUCGGUUUUUCUCCCAGCAGAAAGUGAGCUCUCGGUUUUAGCUUAAGGUGGUGGUUCUUUGCCGGAUUUUUUUUCCCCUCUCUCUUGGAAGGUGAUUUGCAAGUCAUGGAGGACUGUUCCUGAGCCUGAAAAACACCCAUAAAUCGAAGAAGAAGCUGCUGAAACGAGGAAGGAAAACUGCAGAAAUUUCGGCCAAGUACAGGUUGCAUUUUUCCAUCCCUUUUUCAUUGUUUUGCCUUAGAAUAUCUUCUAUUGGUUGAUGUUUUGGUUGAUUGAACUCCUAGGAUCCCCAACAAACUGGUAUCAGAGCUAGGAGGAGUGAUAUUAGUCCAAAAUCGAUCAAAAACCAACAAGGAAAUCGCCAUUACCACUUUCUGACCGAAUCUGAAAACUUGAUUUUCGGCCAACCUAUUGACUUUCCGGCGAAAUGGACCAUGGAACCAUGACCAGCAGGAGGAGGCGCAACCUGUGGUGGGGCGCGUGACCGGCGGCGGCGCGUGGCCGGACCUCCGGCGAGCACUUUUCGGGCAGUUUACUUAUUUUGACGUCCUGAAUGCACUGAUGUCGUUUGUUUUCUGUUUCAGAUUUUACAGAAAAAGUUGGACGAUUUUGCCCCUAGCUUGACGUCUACGGCAAUUUGGUUCAGAAACUUUGUGGUAUAUUUACUGUUUGUCAACAGUAGUUUUGUAAGAUUAUUCCGAACUCUCCAUUAGGUUAGGUUUGGUAUCCUUACCGGUUUAUGCAUGGUUAUUGCUUGGUUGCUUAUUUGUGAAUUCUAUUGAUUGAAUUCUUGUGAUUAAUUUGUAACCUGGAAGCAUAUUUACCUGCUUUACAUACCUGUGUUUCGUGAACGGAUUAUUUCACUGUUGUGAUUCAUUUCUAAAAAUUGUUUUUUAACUCGGUACUCAGUUUUAUAUUGAUCAUCUGGAAAAGAAUUUUUUCAAAACCUUUUCUGUUGUGUCCACGAGUACAGGCCACUCUUUUAUAAAAUCUAUAAUGGGUUCGAGGGUCGAAUUAUCGCAAUUCGAUGGAAAGGGGGAUUACUCGAUAUGGAAACAGAAAAUGAGGGCCAUUUUGGUCCAACAGAGAGUUGCUAAAGCUCUUGAUGAUCCCGCUACAUUUUCUGAUGAGUUAAAAGCUAAAACAACUGAAAUUGAAGACAUGAAUGAAAUUGCUUACAGUUAUAUAAUUUUGCAUCUAUCUGACAAUAUUGUGAGACAAGUUGAUAGUGCUAAAACUGCUAGAGCUUUGUGGAUUGCUUUAGAUGCCCUGUUCUUAACUAAAACUUUACCUAACAAAAUAUACCUGUUGGAGAAGUUGUUUAGUUUUAAGAUGGACCCGGGGAAGGAUGUCGAGGGGAAUUUGAGUGACUUUAGCAUAAUUGUUAAGAGUCUAGCUCAUAAUGAUAAAACAUUUGAUGAUGAGGAUUUAGCUGUCAUAUUGCUAAACUCUUUGCCCGAAUCUUACAGAGAAAUGAAAAAUACCAUAAAGUAUGGUAGGGACACUCUCACUCAAGCUAUUGUUUCUGAUGUUUUAAAAUCAAGAGAACUUGAAUUAAAAAGAGAGAACAGAAUUCAUUCUCGUGAAGAGAGUCUAUUUGUUAGGGGAAGAUCUGAAAAGAAAGAAUUCAACUUCUAUAACAAGAAGGGGAGAGAAAAAUCUAAAAUGAGAUCCAAAUCUAAAGAUAAAAGCUGUAAGAAAUGUUAUCACUAUGGAAAGUUAGGACAUUUCAAGAAAGACUGCUUUGAUUGGAAAAGGAAACAAAAAGACCCGAACAAUUCUGAUGUUGAUAACGCUGCUAUUGCUACUAAAUUUAAUAGUUUGCAUGUCAUGAAUGUGUCUGAAGAAGAAUUUGACAAAAAUUGGAUUCUUAACACAGGGUGAACUUUCCAUAUGUGCCCUGGUAGGUCUUGGUUUUAUAACUAUAGGGAGACUGAACCUAGGAAGGUCUACAUGGGAGACAAUAAUUCUCAAGAUGUGAUUGGAAUUGGUGACAUAGCCAUCAGGAUGUACGAUGGGGCCGUCACGCAGCUUAGAAAUGUUAGAUAUAUCCAAAAUUUAAAGAGGAACCUCAUUUCCUUAGGUUCUCUGGAAGAUGAGGGAUAUACCUUCAAGUCUGGUAACAAGAUUUUGAAAAUUAUGAAGGGUUCUCUUAUAGUUAUGAAGGGGCCCAAGAGGAAUGGGCUGUACUAUCUUGAGGGUAGAACUGAAAUACCAUUUGAUUCUAGCCUUCUUGCUGUGAGUAAAGACAAAACUGAACUUUGGCAUAACAGAAUGGGUCACAUUGGGUUUAAAGGUCUAAAAUCUUUAAGUAAUCAGAAACUACUUGGAAAAGAUGACAUUGAAACUUUGGAAUUCUGUGAAACUUGUGUUUUGGGUAAGUCUCAUAAGAUGAGCUUUGAAGCUAGCUCUCAUAGGACCAGCAGACCAUUGGACUAUGUCCAUGCUGAUCUAUGGGGCCCGGAGAAGCACUCUACAUUUGGUGGGAGCAAGUACUUCUUGUCCUUAGUGGAUGAUUACUCAAGAAAGGUUUGGAUUUAUCCUUUGAAGGCUAAGUCGGAAACUUUUGGAAAAUUCAGGAUUUGGUUAAAGUCUGUUGAGAAUCAGUUAGACAAGAAACUUAAAACGUUAAGAACUGAUAAUGGGCUUGAAUUCUGUAAUAGCGAAUUUGACAACUUCUGUAAGCAGAAAGGUAUAACAAGACACAGAACUGUUAAAUACACACCUGAACAAAAUGGGGUCGCUGAAAGAAUGAACAGAACCAUAAUGAACAAAGUUAGGUGUAUGUUGAUUAGCUCUGGCCUUGCGAAAGGUUUUUGGGCUGAAGCUACAAGUAUUGCAGCUUAUCUGAUUAAUAGGCCGUCCAGCAGUAUAGGGUUUAAGACCCCACAGGAGUUGUGGACGGGAGAGCCUCCAAAUCUGGAACACUUGAGGGUGUUUGGAUGUGCUGCAUAUGCACAUCAAUCUGAAGGAAAACUUGAGCCCAGGGCUGUCAAGUGUGUGAUGUUAGGGUACCCCAAGGGUGUGAAGGGCUAUAGGUUAUGGGUUUUAGGGGUCCAAGGCAUUAAGAUUAUUAAUAGCAGGAAUGUAGUCUUUAAUGAAUCUGAGAUGCCAUGUCUAAAACAGAAAACCGAAGAAACUAACAAAUCUGAAACUGAGAAGAGUAUUCAGACUGAGGUGAAGCUGACUAGGCUAAAUUCAUCUACACCUGGGAAUGACGAAAAUGACCCUAUACAUCAUGAAAAUGAAAAUGAAAUUGAAAUUGAACCUGAACUUGAACCUGAAGAGGUGACUGAACUCCAAGAUAACAUUGAACCAGUUGAAGUUGAACAUUUUAAUGAUCAGCCACCUAAUCAAGAUUAUCAGCUUACUAGGGAUCGGGGGAGGAGGCAAAUCAGGCCAAAUCCUAGAUAUGAAUCCCUAAACUUGACUGAUUUUGCCUUGGUUUCAGGUGAAGCCCUUGAACAGAUAGAACCUGCUAGUUAUGAAGAAGCUGUUAAUGGAAAAUGUUCUGAAAAUUGGCUAAAAGCUAUGCGGGAAGAAAUGGAAUCUCUAAUGGAGAAUAAAACUUGGAAGUUAGUUAACAAACCUAAGGAUCAUAGGAUAGUUCAAUGUAAGUGGAUUUACAAAUUGAAAGAAGGAAAUAAUCCUAGUGAUCCUCCUAGGUAUAAGGCCAGAUUAGUGGCGAAAGGGUUCACUCAAAAGGAGGGGGUUGAUUACAAUGAGAUAUUCUCUCCUGUGAUAAAGUACAAAACAAUCAGAAUGGUUCUUGCAUUGGUUAUUCAGUACAACUGGGAACUGGAACAACUAGAUGUCAAGACUGCUUUCCUACAUGGGGAAUUNGUGCACAAUCUCCUAAGACUGAGGAGGAAUUUAGAGAAAUGAGGAACAUACCUUACGCUAAUGCUAUAGGUUCCGUCAUGUUCUCUAUGAUAACAACCAAGCCUGACUUAGCCUAUGCUAUAAGUUUUUUGAGCAGAUUUAUGUCAAACCCAGGAAAGCCUCAUUGGGCAGGUUUGAAAUGGUUGUUAAGGUACAUUGUUGGUACAUUAAAUCUGGGUCUAGUGUAUGAAAAGAGAUCUGAAAAACUUACUCUAAAGGGGUAUGUAGACUCUGAUUUUGCUGGUGACAAGGAUAGCAGAAAGUCUACCACAGCGUACUUUUUUACACUAGGUGACAAUUGUAUAACAUGGAAGUCACAGCUGCAGUCUUUAGUUACUUUGUCAAGUACUGAGGCAGAAUAUGUUGCCAUAACUGAGGCGGCUAAAGAAUGUACUUGGUUAAAAGGAAUUUUAAAAGAAUUGAACUGCAUGCAUGAUACACCUGUUAUGUUUACUGAUAGUCAAAGUGCUUUAUUGCUUUGUAAAAAUCCUGUUUACCAUGAAAGAACUAAACAUAUUGAGGUAAAGUAUCAUUUUAUUCGUGAGAAACUGUCUCAAGGUGAAGUUAAUCUUGUUAAAAUUCACACUGAUAGGAAUCCCUAUGAUAUGGGAACAAAAAUUCUACCUGCAGGUAAAUUUAAAUUGUGCUUAUUUUUAUUACAUAUUGACACUGGUUAAUUUUUUCUUGCAGGUAGUGGGCGAUGAUGAUGAACAGUUCUUCCAUGUGCAAAUUCGCAACCAAGAGAGAGUGUUAGGAGAACCAAGGUGAAGAAUGUGAGAAUAUGGUUCACUUAACACCAUCUAUUCAGUUUUUUGUGGACCAUUGGAUGAAGAUCGACGGCCGAGAUUUCAUCUUGGGGGAGAUGUUGUGACUUGAUGGUAUUGAUGUUGACACAAUAAGGUCUUCCCACGUUUUUGGCAAAGGCAUGGUCUUUCCUUCCUUCCCCUUUUUAAGUAGACUUACUCUCUACCAUUUCAAAAAUGAGGAGCUCUCGGUUUUUCUCCUAGCAGAAAGUGAGCUCUCGGUUUUAGCUUAAGGUAGUGGUUCUUUGCCGGAUUUUUUUUUCCCCUCUCUCUUGGAAUGGUGAUUUGCAAGUCAUGGAGGGCUGUUCCUGAGCCUGAAAAACACCCAUAAAUCGAAGAAGAAGCUGCUGAAACGAGGAAGGAAAACUGCAGAAAUUUCGGCCAAGUACAGGUUGCAUUUUUCCAUCCCUUUUUCAUUGUUUUGCCUUAGAAUAUCUUCUAUUGGUUGAUGUUUUGGUUGAUUGAACUCCAAGGAUCCCCAACAAGUAGAAUUCACCCGCAGCCCGAGGAUGGUACCCAGUGAGAUGAUUGAAGUCUUUAUCGCACUGAGCAAUUGUUAGAGAAACUGAGUCCCCCAACAUGUAACGAGAAAUAGGCCAGCCGGAGUUUAUUGGGCGGAUUAUAUUGCCAGAGAAUGGAAGAAAAUGCUUGAGAGUUUCGCGGAGAGAUUGUUUGAGCUUUGGAACAAUGGUUUCCAGGAAAUGAACCUUGGAGCAAGGGAAUUCAAAGAAGAGAAGCCCAUAUACUGGAUUAAAAUCCAAGCAUAUUAUAUCGAAGGAUACAAGGGGAAGUGUUAACUCAUUGACGUUGCUUGGUAAAGGCUGAAUAUGACAUUGCUCAAGAAUAGUAGCCAUUGGAAUUAUAAGCUCUGAAAAUAUUGAACCAACUAUAGAAACUCUUGAACUGGACAAUAGGGCGUCUUGUAUAUCCUAUCUCUUUAUAGAUACAGUCAAAUAAUUUGGUUCCUAGCCAAUCAACUCUUUCCUCACAUAAUAUCUCAUCAGCCAUCUUGCUCGCCUAACACUUUAUUUUCCUUUUCGGAAAUUUUCAAUAUUGG